GAAGCUACUCGAAAAAUAUUUACCCUGUAUGCUAGCCGAGAUGCUAGCCGCCAGAAAGCUCAGUGUGUUUCUGGGAUUAAAAGUUUUGUCAUUAAGAAGCAAAGCCCCCCGCGCAGUCGGGGAGAAACGUUCUGCUGGCGACAGUCACAUGUUAUCCGUGUCGCACAGUCAGGCCUGGCGGUACUCUGAUACGGAAACAUCCGCUAAGUGAGCGGCGAACUCAGAGAUUUGACAGCUAACUAACUAGCAAACACGGCUGGCUGCCGACCGUUACUUUCUUCUGAAACAUGCUCAAAUUAAGUCCUACCUUCCUCAAAGUUAACUAAUUCUCUUGCGACCAACAUAAACUUACAAACGCAGAAAUGUAGACGGGUUGGUUUUUUGCUACAUCGCAGGAAACUGAGUAGAAACAGCCAUCAUCGCUCCGGGGGGAAAAGACAGACCUCCAUUAUUACUGUGUGGCGCAUGCCCAUACCUCAAUCAAUGGGGCAUGUGUGGAGAGAGUCCAGUGCAUCCGAUUCCUGAGCGUGCAGAUUUCUGAAGACCUCUCCUGGACGGCACAUACCACAGUGGCGGUGAAGAAUGCGACUCCAUCAGGGGGAACAACCUGGAGAAGCUGCCGGUUAUCUUCUGCAGAGCGACUAUGGAGAGUCCAGUCCUGACCUGCAUCAAGGCUGUUGUGAUCGUGCAGGUUUUGUGUUUUUGUGAACUGGUGUUAUUUUUCUUUAAAUGUACAGCUUCAUGCUUGCUUGUAAGCAGUGGCUCAACUUUCACCUCAUGUCUACAUUUGUUUGUAAUCCCAUUUGUCAUGACAAACUGAAUAAAAAGGGUAAAUUUCACUUUUUUAA